UUCCAAUUAGUUUGACAGCUUGUAGUGACAACUGUGUACAUAAUAUGCUCCAUUUUAAUUAAGAAACAUAGAUGAAAAAUACACCAUUUUAACUCACUAAAACAACACAGUUGCACUAAAAUAAACCCUAUAAAAAGUGCACCAUUUGAAGAAACAAUAAUAAAAGUAAAAAACAUAACAUAAUUUCAAUUUCAUGACCAUUGAAGCUUUUCUAUCGUAUCAAUUUCUCCCAUACGUAAAGGAUCCUUGUCCUCAAGGAUCAAACUAGGGAUAGAGCUACUGGAAUUUGUAAAAGUGUUUCCAAGUAGCAUCCUAGGGAAACGUGUUUUCCCAUUCAACCAGUAUUUCUGUAGCAACAUUACUUCCUCGCUUCACCAUUCUUCGAUUUAAUAUUUGGACUGGUAUAUUCUGAAGAGUGCGAUCUGACCCAACUAAAGGAAAAUAUUGCUGUGUGAGGACAAGAACACCAUGUUUCUUGAGUUGAGAAACAUGAAAUGUAUGAUGAAUCCGAGAGCCUUCAGGUAGUGUCAAUUUGUAAGCAACUUGCCCCACUUGUGUUGCUACUGGAAAGGGUCCAAAAUAUUAAGGGAAAAGCUUCUAGUUAUAAUGCUUCCUCAAUGAGUGCUGAUGAUAGAGUUGUAAUUUUAAGUAAUCAUAAUCCCCAAUUUGAAACACCCUUUCACUCCUGCGGUCUGC
rnacentral:lncRNA from 1 species